GACGAACCGGACAAACGUUAUUCGGAAUUACUGGGCUUAAAGGGUUUGUAGGCGGCCUUGUAAGUCAGGUGUGAAAUCCCUCGGCUCAACCGAGGAAUGGCGCUUGAUACUGCACGGCUUGAGGGAGACAGGGGUAAGCGGAACUGAUGGUGGAGCGGUGAAAUGCGUUGAUAUCAUCAGGAACACCGGUGGCGAAAGCGGCCUACUGGGGCUCAUCUGACGCUGAGGAACGAAAGCUAGGGGAGCGAACGGG
rnacentral:rRNA from 1 species